AUUCCCAUUCCCGAAGCACAGACUUUGAGAACAAGCCCAACAAUCAUGAGAGUUGGCAACGCUGCGUGUCUCCUCUAGCAAUUACAAAACAGGAGCACUAGAAUAGACCAGGGCCAGCGACAGAAAAAUCUGACCUGGCUACAGCAGCACGACAGCAACUAUUGCUAGUGGUAUGAGGUUAAAAAAGAAAAAGAAGAAGGGUCUAAUAUAAAUGAAGCUUAGGGGCAUAUAUGUGCCUUAUAGACUGUGCUUCCAAGGUGUCUCGGGCAUGUUGGGCAAGUACAGACAUGGAACUAUGCACAUUUCUUAAUGCUGCCAGAUAACAGAGGGCAGGCAAAAUAAAGGUAGACAAGCUAUAAAAAUUCUGGAACAAAUCACUGCUUCCUCUUAUACACAGAUCACUCUGUUGGUGGUUGCUGCCAAGGUCUCAGUGUCCCACAACCAUCUAGGGGAAAGAAAGUUCUGUGAAGGGAAGGAGGAGUAUUUAAGCGACAGACAGUGUUUUCUGCCAGAAUAGCAUAUUCCACAGCAGCAUGGACGAGAACCUUGAAGAUACAACCUGCAGCAACAUCAGAUCAAUUGACAAGGAUCUGACCAACUUAGUGACUUGGGCGCACACUCAUGGAACGAUAUGCAAUCAAAUCCCAGCCUUGGAAAUUGUACAGGGCAUGGACCGGCCCACCAGGGACAAUUCUGUUCUAUGGAUAUGUGUCACCGGACAUGCCUAUCACUGGCGCUGCGGUGGGGCACUGUACUUCAGAAGCAGGGAGGAAAGCGUAGAACAGAAGAAGAGGCCCCAAACCUCUGAUUCCUGCUCAGCAGACCACAAUUUAAGCGAAAAGAGAUACAGGGUAAGCUCACUGAAAGCUGAUUCUGAGAGCACAGGAUGCCACAGCAGAUCUCCAGGGAUAGCUCAAAAGAAAGAAGCCAAUAUGUGCUUCAUAGCAUGCGAUAUAGCAGUGCCACCAGAAAACCAGAGUGGACUUAUUCCUCUGAAAGACAGCAACUCCACAAGACUGUGCUGCGCCGCAGAGCAGAACAUGCUACUAACAACGGCUAGCUGUGCCACAACCAACCAAGGUACCGGGCCGACGAAAAGCAUGGAGGACCUGCAAGACAUCUCUGAUGAGGAACAGUUUGAAGCAGAGGCAGGACCCAAAAUAAAUUGGAAUAUUCUUUCAGACUCACAGAAUAAAGAAGUCUUGGCUGAGUAUGAACUGCAAGUGCAAGGCGAUAGGAACAGAGGGACUAGCCAGGAUACGGCCACCCAGACAUCUAUUUCUGUCUGCAAAGGGAAGGCGGUGACGACCCCCUUUUUACAAGAGAUUUUAGAACGCAGCAGUCCAGAGAGCCUGGAAAACCACUGCUUGAAUUUAAUUGCUCCUCCUCCUGCUAAGUCCAGAAGCAAAACCUCUGGAGCAGGGAAUCCCUCUGAAUCAGCAGUGUCUAAAGAGCAGUUAACAGCAACUCCCAUCCCCAGCAUGGAAACCAGGGCCCCGUUUGAGCCCCCUGUAUUUAGAGCUUUCCACGACUCCGCACCACUUGGCGUGGUCCACCAGCUGUGCCCUUCUGAGCACGUCACGUCGGGGACGGGGUUAGUCAGGAACGCUGCCGAAACACCGGGCGAGGAAAGCAAACAGUCAGGAUCCCAGACCGCAGCAAGUGCUUUAGCUUCACCUGCUCCAGGGAACGAAAGCGCCAAGGAUGGCCUGCCUGCACCUUCAAACAAAAAUCCCUGAGAAUAUUCACCAAUUCCUUUGACCUCAAUUCAGGGGCCCAGCACCCACCGUCUCCCACCUUCGGAUGUAACUUUCCCUCCCCUGCCCCGUUCUUCUUAAACACGCAUGAUCCCCAACGCACAAAUCGACAGGCCAUUUGCAUGGAGAAGAGCAGCCUGGAAGGCUGAUGCAGCAGGGUGACUCUUUAAUAAAUUACCUCUUUGCAAAUAACCA
rnacentral:lncRNA from 1 species